GUUGAUUCUCCUCAUGUCUAUUGCAUCUUUAUGAAGCAUUAAAUCAGUUCACUUGUGUGUGGGCCCGGACUUCUGAUGGAUUUUGCAAAUAGCCGAUUCUCUUCUUUAUUGGACUGGAGCUGCUUCCAGAUGCUGCCCUCUGGCAGACGCUUAAGAAGCCACUCAGAGUGCUGGUUUAAGGAGUCCUAGCGAAGGUGCCUGGAGUGGCUGGUGAGAAGUAUUCCUGAAGGUCUGUGGAGCAUCUUCUGGCAGCUUGCUCUCCAGUCACUCAGGGUGGCAGUCACGUUUGUAGGUAGGAGAGGAAAGAGUCGAAUCUGCUGGGCAGUGUUCCUCAUGGACAGAGGAUGUGGUCACUCAUUCCGUGUGCCCAAAUGAUGGCCUUAGGGGCUUUGAGUUUGUCCAGGUGGGGAAGGGCAUAUGGUAAGUGGGAGCUGUCAAUAUUUUAAUGCCUUUAUCCUACAAUUUCCUGCCUCCCGAGUCUCACAGGGUUCUCGGGAUGUCAGUCUAAGCUGCUCGGCAGAGGAGGGCAAGGCUCUUGGCCUCAGUGCUGCCGUGUCUCCCCUCACUCUUGUGAGCCGAUUGGAGGACAGGUAGGAGAGGGUUUGGUGGGCUGGCCUCAAAGCCAGUUCACAGCACGAACCCAACAGUUCUGAGUAUUUGCCAGACUUUCCUGAACAUGGUUUGCUUUCUGGCCUUUUACCGAGGGUGGGCCUGGCCGUUUGGGUUUCAAGUGUCUCCCACAACCUUCUGAGCUUAGAGCUUGGUCCUCAGGGCAUCCAUGCUCAGAGAUGGCAUCCUCGGGGCUGGUUGGACUAUGCCGGGCUGUUUCUUGGCAUCCACCAGAGACUGGUCCAAAGUAGCCCCCAGCCGAGCUCUGAAAGCGGGAGCUGUUACGAAGCUUUCUCAGCCUAUUUUAUCACGUGGUGGGAAUCUGAGGGGAAACUGGUAACAGGGCAGGCAUCCUUGCUGUGGCUCGGAAGGCCUUGCAAGGGUUUGAGGAGGAAAAGUAUAAGGAACAGGCCAGGAAAGCUUGGGUGUUGUGAAUGGAGCUUUGUGGGUAGAUGUGCCUGAGCUCAGCCAGGGUGCUGCAGGAUUCUGGGCAGUAGGGAUGGUCUCAGGCUUCUGAAUUACAGAAUUAGACUUCUGGGCCUUGUCCUCUCGGUCUUCUCUUUUACAGUGGGCAGAUGGGGCUGACUUGAAAGCCAAGAGCAGCUGAUUCGGGAGUUUGACAGCCCCACACUCUUCAGGUGGUAGCCUGGCUAUUUCUGGCUGUUGUGGGCAGCUUCAUGGUGAGCAUCGUGAGCGGAAAACAGUGGGAAGAUUUGGAAAGAGCCCCUUGGCCAGAAAAGGAUUGCUGAAGAGUUUAGAAUCCUUGCAAGGAGGCUGCCUACUUUGUGUCAGGGCAACAUGAAGUUGCCAGACCUCCCCUACAGAGGAAUCACAAGUGCUGCAGUUUGAAUUUGUAAGACUCCCAGAGCUGCCUGGGGAUUAUUUUGACAGGAUUCAUUUCCUAGGUCAAUCACCCAGGCCCUCAGAGGCCACCAAGGCAAUGCGCCAAGGGAGAAUGCUGUUCCCACAGCAGCAGUGAGAGGCGGCUUUGCAAGCUUGUAAGGCCCGGAGAAGGGGCCCGUGUGGAACAGUUUCGAAGAUGCCUGGAGCUGAGAAUUUGCCUCAUGGGACGUGGGUGUUUGACCUACUCUGGAAGGGUUGAGACUUCGGCGGCCGUUGCGAGGACCUAGAUGCAUUUUAUACUGUGGGAUGCAGGUGGUUCCUCCAGGUGUUUUGUCACAUGACGAGCGACACAGGAGCCUUACAGAUCCUCAUGGCAGGAGGAAAAGGAUUGGUUCCCUUCCAACACAUACAUAUGUAUACCUCAGUCAUCACAUGGAAUGUCUAGAGGACUGAAGAAACAUGUAAGGUUCCUACCACCCUCUAAACAGGCAUCCGUAUUCAUUUCUUAACAAGCCAGUGUCUAAUUUACUUACUGCUUUCUGUUGAAAACGAGCUCCGGGAUCCUGAAAGAAAUGAAACACAAUGAGACUCCGCAUGGGCUAUACGUCUGUGCUGCAUAGUGAAUGGGAUUGUUUUACCUUUCAUUCUUUUACAUCUUGCACUGGAAAAACCUUGUGUGAAAGGGGGAGAGAACAGACUAAAUCACCAAUAUCUCAUCAAGAAGCGA